AUAAGGGGAUAAGUAGCAAAAGUGGCACCAAUCUUGGCGAGGGCGCUGGCGAGGAAAACCUCACCGGGGGAAAGUCGGACGGGAGCAUUUUCAACGGGGGUUUC
rnacentral:ribozyme from 12 species